rnacentral:tRNA from 1 species
GGCCUUGAGGUGUCUUCCACGUUAGAUUGCAAAUCUAAAGAAGUAGACUGACGGUCUGCCGGGGCUU